AAUUUGGUCCUUUUUAGGACCACCCAAAACAAUUACGAAAGAGUUA
rfam:Culex pipiens quinquefasciatus supercont3.2115 genomic scaffold, whole genome shotgun sequence.